rnacentral:lncRNA from 1 species
CUUCCAAAUAUGGUGACCAAUAAAAAGCAAGUUCAGGUUAAACGUCAAAGGUAGCUCUAGGCAAAGUUUUGCCUUUACUGUCAUUUACUGUUACUGUUCCUUCCACUUAUUCAUCCUGCCUCAAACUCUGUGAUUUGGGAAUAAAAGUGAUGAAUAAAGUCCCCAUCAAGAGGAUAACAAUUUAUUAUUCAUCUUACAAAAAUCUCCUUCUUACGAAGAAUCUGCUCCCCAAUGAAGCUUACCUUGACUGUCACAGGAAGAUUACUCAGGUAUGUGACCAACCACUGUACCUUGUACAGAUCACUUUUGACAUAAGUUUAGAUAAGAACAGGUAUGAUAAAUUAAAUGCAUAUUUUGGUCAUCAAAAUGAAUACAGAUGUGGUGAUUAUAAGGGUUCAAUAAGUACACACUGAAUAAACAAGGACAUAGUUAUCUCUUCCUAGGAGAUAUUGAAAUGGAAUAAAAUAAGAUGUGAUAAAUUACUCUGGUAUCUG